GGAUGGGUAUGCCUAGCGGCGAGGGCAGCGGACUGUAAAUCCGUCACAGAGAAACACCGCAGGUUCGAUUCCUGCCCCAUCCA
rnacentral:tRNA from 1 species